AUGGCCUCUCGCCGGCGUCCUAGUCCUAGCACCCUAGUCUUCCUGGUGUUGCUAUACCUCUACUUCGCGCCAAGCUGCGCCUUAUCGCUCUCCUUCAACCUCAACUUCUCCGAUCCCAGCGCCGGUUCAUCCAUCGCCGUCGCCGGCGAUGCAUUCAUCAGCACGCCUCCAUUGACCCUCGAGCUGACCAGAAAUACACGUAGUGCGGGUAUUCAGGACAGCGUCGGCCGGGCGACCUACGCGCACAAAGUGCCGCUGUGGAGCAACGCAACCGGCGAGAUGGCUAGCUUCACCACCACCUUCUCCUUCCAAAUCACUCCAGACAAGGACAGCCUGCCGCUCACAGGCGAUGGGAUGGCCUUCUUCCUCGGCCAUUUCCCUUCGGCGAUCCCGCGGGACAGCUACGGCGGCAGCCUCGGCCUCCUCCUCACCAACACUAACGGUACAGGCGACGGUCGAAUCGUGGCCGUUGAGUUCGACACUUUCUUCAACACGCGAUAUGGAGAUAUCAACGGGAACCAUGUCGGCAUCGACAUCAACUCUGUCAACUCCACGGCGUCCACGAGCACGACGAGACAAGGCAAGAACCUCACGUCGCUCCAUGUUAUGGAAGCCACCAUCAAGUACCUGAAUGACUCCAAGAUGCUGGCCCUUGACCUCCUCAUCGACGAUGCCUUGUACCAGGUCAAUGCGACCGUCGAUCUGAGAAGAUACUUACCAGAGGAAGUCGCCGUGGGCUUCUCUGCGGCGACUGGCGACAUCACCGAGCUGCACCAGAUACUGUCAUGGUCAUUCAGUACCACUUUGCAGCUUGAAUCAAAGAAGGAAGCUCAACCUCUUCCGAUUCCAAGUUUUCCAACCACCAGCAGCAACAACCACAAAACGUUGGUACCAAUCCUUGUAUCCGUACUAGUUCCUCUCCUUUUUUUGGUGGUCUGUGCGGCGGUUGUGCUGGGAUGGCGGCGACACAAAAGAAGAAGAGCAAACAAUGAGGACAGCGAAGAAGAGUGUGACGACAGAGCUGACCUCGAGAGAGGUGUGGCUGCCGGCGGCCCUAGACGGUACGUGUACCAUGAGCUGGUCGCCGCAACAAACAACUUCGCGGAGGAGGAGAAGCUCGGGCGAGGUGGCUUCGGGAGCGUUUACAGGGGUCACCUCACACUCACACUCGCAGGCGCCGUCGGAGGUGACCAAGACCGUCGAGAGGUGGCGGUGAAGGUGCUGUCAGCAGAGUCGUCGUCACAGGGGAGGAAGGAGUUUGAGGCAGAGGUGAGGAUCAUCAGCAGACUCAAGCAUCGCAACCUUGUCCAAUUGUUGGGUUGGUGUGACAGCCGCAAGGGGCUCCUCCUUGUCUACGAGCUUGUCGCCGAGAGCAGCCUAGACAAGCACCUCUACAGCAAGGACGGCACGUAUCUGACAUGGCCACAGAGGUACAGCAUCAUGGUCGGCCUGGGAUCGGCGCUGCGCUACCUCCACGGGGAGUGGGAGCAGUGCAUCGUCCACGGCGACAUCAAGCCCAGCAACAUCAUGCUCGACUCGUCGCUGAGCACCAAGCUCGGGGACUUCGGGUUGGCCCGGCUCAUCAACCACGGCGCCGGGUUAAUGCAAACUACCAAGGCCGUGCUCGGAACUGUCGGGUACAUCGACCCGGAGUUCGUCAACACGCGCCGGCCCAGCACCGAGUCGGACGUGUACAGCUUCGGCGUCGUCCUCCUGGAGAUCGCCUCCGGCCGGCGGCCGGUGAUCGAGACCGCGGAGAGAUCCUUCACGCUGCUCAGCUGGGUGUGGGGCCUGUACGGGAGGGACGCCAUCCUUGACGCGGCGGACGAGCGGCUGAGGGGCGACGAGGCGGACGAGCGCUGGAUGGAGCGGGUGCUGGUCGUCGGGCUCUGGUGCGCCCAGCCGGACCAGAGCGAGCGGCCUAACAUGGCGCAGGCCAUGCAUGCCCUGCAGUCCAACGAGGCGAGGCUGCCGGCGCUCCCGCAGCACAUGUACAUGGCUGCACCGAGUCUUGCAUCGUCCGUCCCGUACGGGUCUUUCUCCGUUGACAGCUCCGGCUCCGGUUGCGUUCCAUCUUCUACGGUCAGCACCGGCAACACCACUGCUUCCUCCGAGUCGUCCUCCACCGCGCUGCUACGACAUUCCAAGGAUCAAGCUAACUGA
rnacentral:rRNA from 1 species